UGUUAAAUAUUUCAUUCAUUUCUACUGUUGAACUAGUGUAGUUGACGAAAUAAAUAGACAAUUGCAUAUGAUAUACCAUGUGUACCUCAUGCAGACAUACAUGAAUCAAUCUUUAACUGCAGAAAUAAAUGAAUUUUUUAAUA
rfam:Gossypium arboreum cultivar AKA8401 contig_1145_17, whole genome shotgun sequence.